rnacentral:rRNA from 1 species
GACGAACGCUGGCGGCGUGCUUAACACAUGCAAGUCGAACGAAGAGCGAUGGAAGCUUGCUUCUAUCAAUCUUAGUGGCGAACGGGUGAGUAACGCGUAAUCAACCUGCCCUUCAGAGGGGGACAACAGUUGGAAACGACUGCUAAUACCGCAUACGAUCUAACCUCGGCAUCGAGGAAAGAUGAAAGGUGGCCUCUAUGUAUAAGCUAUCACUGAAGGAGGGGAUUGCGUCUGAUUAGCUAGUUGGAGGGGUAACGGCCCACCAAGGCGAUGAUCAGUAGCCGGUCUGAGAGGAUGAACGGCCACAUUGGGACUGAGACACGGCCCAGACUCCUACGGGAGGCAGCAGUGGGGAAUCUUCCGCAAUGGACGAAAGUCUGACGGAGCAACGCCGCGUGAGUGAUGACGGCCUUCGGGUUGCAAAGCUCUGUUAAUCGGGACGAAAGGCCUUCUUGCGAAUAGUGAGAAGGAUUGACGGUACCGGAAUAGAAAGCCACGGCUAACUACGUG